rnacentral:rRNA from 1 species
UCAAGCUACAAAGAGCACAAGGGGAAUGCCUUGGCACCGAGAGCCGAAGAAGGACGUGACUAACUGCGAUAAGCUGCGGGGAGCCGUAAGUAGGCUUUGAUCCGCAGAUUUCCGAAUGGAGCAAUCCGGCAAGAGGAAAGUCUUGUCAUCAUAUACUGAAUACAUAGGUAUAUGAGGGGAACCGCCUGAACUGAAACAUCUAAGUAGGGCGAGGAAGAGAAAUCAACUGAGAUUCCGUAAGUAGUGGCGAGCGAACGCGGAAGAGGCCAAACCGAGAGUAGUAAUACUUUCGGGGUUCGGACAGAAUACGGUAUUGUAAAGGUUUAGUGGAAUGGAAUGGGAAGUCCAACCGAAGAAGGUGAGAGUCCUGUACACGAAAAGCCUGAACAGCCAUCUGUAUCCAGAGUACCGCCGGACACGUGAAACCCGGUGGGAAUAUGGGGGGACCAUCCUCCAAGCCUAAAUACUACUCGGUGACCGAUAGUGAAGAAGUACUGUGAAGGAAAGGUGAAAAGUACCCCUGACGGGGAGUGAAAAAGAACCUGAAACCUUGUGUUUACAAGCACCGAAAGCUCAUCAAAGAGCGAUCGGGUACCUUUUGUAGAAUGGUCCGGCGAGUGAAUGUAACCGGCGAGGUUAAGCACUUAAGGUGUGAAGCCGCAGCGAGAGCAAGUCUGAAUAGGGCGUAUGAAGUCGGUUGUAUUCGACCCGAAACCGGGUGACCUACCCAUGGUCAGGUUGAAGUAAAGGUAAAACUUUAUGGAGGACCGAACCGACUCCCGUUGAAAUGGUAGCGGAUGAACUGUGGGUAGCGGAGAAAUUCCAAUCGAACCCGGAGAUAGCUGGUUCUCUCCGAAAUAGCUUUAGGGCUAGCCUUGAAAUAGAUUACCGGAGGUAAAGCACUGAAUUGGCUAGGGGCCGAGAGGUUACUGAACCUUAUCAAACUAAGAAUGCCGGAUAAUCGUUUUUCAGGAGUCAGACAGUGGGAGAUAAGUUUCAUUGUCAAAAGGGAAACAGCCCAGACCCACAGCUAAGGUCCCCAAGUAUAGUUAAGUGGAAAAGGAUGUGGAAUUGCACAGACAACCAGGAUGUUGGCUUAGAAGCAGCCACUCAUUAAAAGAGUGCGUAAUAGCUCACUGGUCGAGUGACCCUGCGCCGAAAAUUCAACGGGGCUAAACAAUGUACCGAAGCUUGGGAUUCUAAAGUAAUUUAGAGUGGUAGGAGAGCGUCGAAUAAGGGGUGAAGUCAGAGCGGAAGCGCUGGUGGACUUUAUUCGAGUGAGAAUGCCGGAAUGAGUAGCGAGAAUUAUGUGAGAAUCAUAAUGGCCGAAAAUCUAAGGUUUCCUGAGGAAGGUUCGUCCGCUCAGGGUAAGCCGGGGGCUAAGGCGAGGCGGAGACGCGUAGCCGAUGCACAUACGGUUGAAAUUCCGUAGCCACCGAAAGAUUUAAGUACAGGGACGCUUUAGAAGUGAUGUAGCCGGGCGAUGGUUGACCCGGUCGUAAGGGAUCGAAAAUGAGUAGAGAAGUCAUCAUGGAAAGAGACAAGAAAAGCUGUAUGAAUAUCUUAGGUGCCCGUACCGCAAACCGACACAGGUAGAUAGGAAGAAGAUUCUAAGGCCAACGGGAGAAGGGUUGUUAAGGAACUCGGCAAGUUGACCCCGUAACUUCGGAAUAAGGGGUGCUCAUGAAAGUGAGCCGCAGAGAAUAGGCCCAGGCAACUGUUUACCAAAAACACAGGUUUGUGCUAAAUCGAAAGAUGACGUAUACGAGCUGACGCCUGCCCGGUGCUGGAAGGUUAAGAGGAGAUGUGCAAGCAUUGAAUCGAAGCCCCAGUGAACGGCGGCCGUAACUAUAACGGUCCUAAGGUAGCGAAAUUCCUUGUCAGGUAAG